rnacentral:SRP_RNA from 1 species
GCUGGGCAUGGUGGCGCAUGCCUGUAGUCCCAGCUGCUUGGGAGGCUGAGGCAGGAGAAUCACUUGAACCCAGGAGUUGGAGGUUGCAGUGAGCCGAGAUCUUGCCACUGCACUCCAGCCUGGGUGACAGAGCGAGACUCUGUCUAAA